UAUGCUGCGUUAUGCCGUGGGGU
rnacentral:piRNA from 1 species